GUCUGAAACAUAAUUACUCUCAUUAGCAUAUCACCAAUCAUUAUCUUCAGCCAUUAAUAGUCCACUGCAAUACAAAGGCCUUUCCCAAUGUCCUCCACCUGCUCCUCUGUCUGUCUGUCUGUCUGGUGUUAGUGUACUCCAUCCUGCCCCAGUAAAGGUUCUAAUUCCACCUCUCCACCUGGUCCUCUGUCUGGUGUUAGUGUACUCCAUCCUGCCCCGGUAAAGGUUCUAAUUCCACCUCUCCACCUGGUCCUCUGUCUGGUGUUAGUGUACUCCAUCCUGCCCCGGUAAAGGUUCUAAUUCCACCUCUCCACCUGGUCCUCUGUCUGGUGUUAGUGUACUCCAUCCUGCCCCGGUAAAGGUUCUAAUUCCACCUCUCCACCUGGUCCUCUGUCUGGUGUUAGUGUACUCCAUCCUGCCCCGGUAAAGGUUCUAAUUCCACCUCUCCACCUGGUCCUCUGUCUGGUGUUAGUGUACUCCAUCCUGCCCUGGUAAAGGUUCUAAUUCCACCUCUCCACCUGGUCCUCUGUCUGGUGUUAGUGUACUCCAUCCUGCCCUGGUAAAGGUUCUAAUUCCACCUCUCCACCUGGUCCUCUGUCUGGUGUUAGUGUACUCCAUCCUGCCCUGGUAAAGGUUUUAAUUCCACCUCUCCACCUGGUCCUCUGUCUGGUGUUAGUGUACUCCAUCCUGCCCCGGUAAAGGUUCUAAUUCCACCUCUCCACCUGGUCCUCUGUCUGGUGUUAGUGUACUCCAUCCUGCCCCAGUAAAGGUUAUAAUUCCACCUCUCCACCUGGUCCUGUCUGGUGUUAGU